rfam:Papio anubis isolate 1X1155 chromosome 1, whole genome shotgun sequence.
GGACAUCAGAGCUGUCUGUCACCUCCUUAAUAACAAAGGUGAUUUCACUGGACUGGGUAGACGGUUCCCCAUUUUUUGUGUUCAUCCAGCCGAAAGGUAAUUGUUCUCUUUUAUAUUAAUAGUUCUUGCCAAGUCCAGAGCUAUUCCAAAGCAGUUCCUAAAUGGCUGCACUUUCCUGUCAGAAUGUCCAAAUAAGCCCUCAAAGUCUAAUUGUAAGAGGACAUUGGACAGCCAAGUGAAUUCAAUGAUAUUAAAAUAAAGUUUUGAGAAGAAUGCGCUCUUCCAGUUCAU